rnacentral:rRNA from 1 species
CCUACGGGAGGCAGCAGUGGGGAAUAUUGCACAAUGGGGGCAACCCUGAUGCAGCGACGCCGCGUGAGUGAAGAAGUAUCUCGGUACGUAAAGCUCUAUCAGCAGGGAAGAAAAUGACGGUACCUGACUAAGAAGCACAGGCUAACUACGUGCCAGCAGCCGUGGCAAUACGCAGGGGGCAAGCGUUAUCCGGAUUUACUGGGUGUAAAGGGAGCGUAGACGGCAGCACAAGUCUGGAGUGAAAUCCCGAGGCUUAACCCCGGAACUGCGUUGGAAACUGUGCGGCUGGAGUGCAGGCGGGGGAGGCGGAAUGCCUGGUGUAGCGGUGAAAUGCGUAGAUAGUAGAAGGAACACCGGUUGCGAAGGCAGCUUAC